rnacentral:rRNA from 1 species
AUUUGACUCAACGCGGGAAAUCUUACCGGGUCCGGACACACUGAGGAUUGACAGGUAUUAUAUAGCGCGCUUGCGCGUCUAUUGUUAAAUAUGCUAGUCCUUUCAUGAUUAUGUGAUAGGUGGUGCAUGGCCGUUCUUAGUUCGUGGAGUGAUCUGUCUGCUUAAUUGCGUUUCAGAUAAGGAUCUAUAUUCUUUACAGAAGUGUUGCGUAGUGCAUUUGACCCCUCGUUCGCGAGUGCGUGUCUUUUCGCGCUCGCACGCUUUUUACAUUAGGUCCUGAAAGCAACGAACGUGACCGCAACCUCUUGUUGCCUCAUCUCCCUACUUUUUAGCACUUCGGNGUUAAUAAUUUCAUUGAGGCUUUCCAAAACUAGAGGGACCGCUGUCAACUUCUUAAACCAGAGGAAGGUUGCGGCAAUAACAGGUCUGUGAUGC